UUAUAAUUAAAGUCAUAAUAGGUUUUUAGAAUCCUAGUAAACUUUCGAUUUUUUAGAAAAACCUAUAAAUAAGGCUAAUUCAUAUAAACCAAAGUAUUAAUUGAUGAUUAAUAAUAUUAUGUUUUUUGUGUGUGCAUAUUUUGUAAUUUUUAAUGAUGAAACUCUAUUGGUUUUUUUCUAGGUAAAACUCUUAUAAGGCGUGCGAAUCUAAGGUAUCUAUUCCUUCUUCUUAUUUUUUUUCUCUAUAAUUUUAUGGUGCUUUAAGCUUUUAUCCCAUAUUCCUCUCCUUAAACCUUGAAAAAAUUUAAACCUUAGCCCACCUAUUUGAUUAUAGGCAACCCUUUCCUUAAACCCUAAAAUAAAAAGGAAAUACCUUAUUCUUCUUCUUAAACCUCAAAACAAUAAAAACCCUAUCCCACCUAUUUGAUUAUGGACAACCAUCUCCUUAAACCCUAAAAUAAAAGGGAGAUACCUUAUUCCUCUUCUUAAACCUCAAAACAAUAAAAACCUUAUCCCACCUAUUUGAUUAUGGACAACCAUCUCCUUAAACACUAAAUUAAAAGGAGACCAUUCAGGGGGAUACAUGUAGUUAUCACCAUCGUAUGUUUCUCUAAUGAAUCUAUUAGGUGCACAAGUGGCAGCAUAUUAUUAGUCCACAAACACAUUGUAUCACCCUGUUAGUCCAUGUAUACACGGCACCAUUUCACAGGUCUGUGUUGUGUCAUCUAGUUGCAUCUUAUAAAAAGGAAUCCCCAUUAAUAGACCUCAAGGACCACCAUUUGAAAGGACUGAAAAAAUCUCUUUAAGGGAUUUGUUCUCUGAAAAUUACUGCUAGUUGCUCCAACUCAUGCUUCCUCUUAAUCCACUCUAUUCUUCCUUUGAAUUGGGACAACUCGCCAUCCACAUGGUCACCUCCUUCAACAAAAAUAGAUCACAAAAAUCCUAGUAUAGCCUUUACAAACUUAUCUCAAUCUUAAGACCUUUUCCUCAAAACCUAUAAUGUUUAACACCUUUCUUUAUUUUUAUGCAAUAAGGACAUCUAUUUCUAUAAGGAAAUAUCAACAAAACAAAUAUCUAAUAUAAUAUUCUCUACUAUUAUGAUCCAAAAUGAAAUUUGAGACACUUUGUAACAUAGCUCAAUGAAGCCAUAUCAUUGAUUCCUCCCCUCUUUUUUCCCUUUCUAUAAGAAGGCUGAUCAAUAUGAAAGAAGUAGAAAUUUCACAUGUACAACAAAAGGAAACAUAAAAAUGACCUCUUAAAGAGGUAAAAAAGAAGGAAAGAAAAAUCCAAAGUCAUAAUAAAAUACAUGAUUGUAGGGCAAUAAAAAUGCAAGAAUAUUAUACUAACCUGCAAGCUUCCCAUUAAUAAAAGCAUGAAGGGCAUGGCCUAGUGAUUCCACAUGAAGAACAGUUUGUGAUCCAUCUUCAAGGAAAGGCUCAUCACCUUGUAU
rnacentral:lncRNA from 1 species